rnacentral:lncRNA from 1 species
CGGUGGACUUCAUCUUUGGGGAUUCGGCGAGCGUGUUCCAGAAUUGUUUGAUCAUUGUGAGGAAGCCAAGUGAGAACCAACACAACAUGAUUACAGCACCUGGAAGGCAAUAUAUAGACACUGACUCAGCCCUUGUACUUCAAAACUGUACCAUCACGGGUGCCCCUGAUUACCUUCCGGUGAAGGACAAGAGUAAGACGUACCUUGGUCGUCCCUGGAAACCCUUGGCGAGAGCCAUCAUAAUGCAAUCUACAAUCGAAGACAUCAUUACACCAGAGGGUUAUGCCCCCAUGGACGGCACCAAAGGAUUGGACACUGCCUACUUUGCUGAGUUUGAAAACAAGGGACCUGGUGCCAAAACUGAAGGUAGGGUCACAUGGCCAGCUAUCAAGAAAAUUGAUACAAAUGAAGCCAAGAAAUGGACCCCUGGCGUCUUUCUUGGAUCUGACCAAUGGGUUCCACAAGCCGACAUUCCUUAUUAUCCUGACAUGGUCCCUGUAGUGUAAACUUCCAAAACCAUCGCCAUUAGUCUUUUAUUAUUAUUAUUAUUAUUAUUAUAUAUCCUUCUCCGAUUCGAGAAUAAAAGGAAAAAUUCAUCAUUAUUAUGGAAGUUGCAAUCUGUAAUUAUUUUCUUAUUAUAGAAUUAAAAGUAAUAAUAUGUUAUUAGAGAUACAUACAAAGUCUAACCAACUUAAUUUCUGAUUAAUUAUUUUGGAUUAAAUAGUUAAAAAUUUAAAGUUAUAAGAGGCUUUAAGUUAAAAUUAAAUUUAAUCCCUAAUUUUUUUUAUUAAAUUUAUUGGUGUGACAUUUUAAAUUUUAAAAAAAAACUCACUUGAUAAUAAUAUCACAAAAAAAUAUCUUUAUAAUAAACUUGAAUUUAACAAAAAAAGAAAAAGAAAAAAAGAAGAGGCUAAUUAGCAAUUCUUUAAAUUUAUCUUAGCAUUUUAAAUAGAUUAACUAAUGAUCUUAUAUAAAAAGAAAACUCAAAUCUUAAAUAUAGUACUAUUUUUAUAUAAUUAAAAAGUAGGAGCCUUCCUUUGAUAUGUAGUAGUAUAGUAUAGAUAUGCUUUUAAACAAAAAAAAAAAGAGCUAUGUAUACCAUUAAAUGAAAUAAUAUGUCUUAAUAUAUUUUAAUUAAUAUAAACACAGUUUUUAAUAUUUUUAAUUUGUAAUUAUCAUUUAACAUAAAUAAUAUUUUAAUUUAUAAAUAUACUAUUGAAUACAAAUAUUAUUUUUGAAAAUGAUAUAUUUUCUAUAAUUUUUAUUUUGGUGUUAGCGUGGUUGCAAAAUUGGCCACCUCCGUCUGGGUGUUAAUCCUCGGGAUUGGGAACCUAUUAUUCAAACGGUAAGGUCCAAGCUUCCGCAAUGGAAACGAAAGCUUCUUAGUUUUGCGGAACGCCUUACGGAACGCCUUACUCCUUACCCUGGGGAGGUUACAUAGUGAAUCGGAAAGGAAAUUAGCACGUGUUAAAUGGGAAGUGGUGUGCAAAAGCAAGAAAGGAGGAGGUCUUGGGGUUAUGAAUUUACAGCUCCAAAAUCAAGCUCUCCUAGCCAAGUGGCUUUGGAAAUGUGCCAGCGACGCCAAUUCUGUCUGCCUUGGUCAAAACCUCAAUCCAUGCCGAAUUUUGGGCGUUGCAUCAUAGAAGAUGUUAAGUUUAUUGACUGUAAUUAUUUUUCUUGGUUUGUUAAUUCAGGUAAGGGUGUUCUACUUUGGAUCGAUUGGUGCUGUGGUGAGAAACCGAUUAAAGAUUCUUUUCCCAGUCUUUUUGCUCUCGCUUUAAAUUAAUGGGCAAAAGUUGUUGGUUACGCCAUUGAUGGUAGCCUUGAUCAUGAUAGCUGGCAUUGAUUCUUCGUCCGAUGCUUCCUUGAUCGGGAUAUCUCAGCUUCAAGCCUUGGUCAAGCAUACUACGUUGUUUCAACACUUGAAAGAUGGAAUUAUAUGGCGCCACGAUCCCAAGGGACAAUUUUCUGUUCAGAAACUCUCGGCUAUUCUUUUACAUUCUGAUAAUGGUAACACUUUUAAAACAAUAUGGUCUAUUGCUGUCCCGCGUAAGAUUCAAAGCUUUAUAUGGAUGGUCCUUAUUGACCGCAUCCCCUCGACGUCAUUUCUUAUUCAAAGUCCAGAGCAAUCUCUUUGUCCCAUGGUGUGUAGAAGAACCAUUGAAUCGACAUAUCAUGUUCUCUUCACUUGUAAUUUUGAGUGGUGGAAAUUGACCUGUUGCCUACAAAACUCUUUAAAAAGACUUGUUAGUGGAAUGUCUUGGAACAGUUUCCCAGCACAAAGGUCGUAAAGAGUGGCUCUCUGGUCCCUAUGGCUUGCUCAUAUGAAAUCUCUUUCUCAAGACCAACUUCUUUUAACUACGAUGGUGCUGAUCAGGGAUUUAAAUAGCGGUCCGUUACCGAAAUAGCGGCCGUUAUAUAGCGGUAACGGCACCGUCCGAAACCGCUACUGUCGAAACCCGCUAUACCCGCAAUACACAAUAAGUAAUGUAAAAUUCACGACCGCGAUACCUGCAAUGACCGCAAUAGCAUCCGUUAUGUCCGCAACCGCGAUAAACGCAAUGCGACCGAAAACGCGACCGCAACCGCAAUUUAAAUCCCUGGUGCUGAUAUCUCCCAAGGCUUUGGGUGGGAGAAUCCAUGGGAUUGUGAAAAGGUUCUAAAUGGCCCCCACCACCCUUGGGAUAUUUGAAAUUUAACGUCGAUGCAUCAGUAAAAGGCAACUCUUCAGGUUGUGGUGGCAGUCUUAGAGGACCAAAUGGGAGUAUCCUUGCUCUCUUCCCUGCAGCAGCUGCUAAUACUUGCGGUGUUUGCGGAGCUGAGUUAAGAGCCAUCAAAAUGGCAUUGGAGCUAUUUGUCAAUGCUGGUAAGUUCGAAUCUCAUGGUUUGUUGAUUGAAUCAACUGCUGUGGAAAUUCUGCUAUUACUUUCAUCAACAUCUUUAGAGAAGCGGAAUGUCUCGACAUGUUCCUUUGGUGGUAAGCUGAUGCGGUUUGUUCCUUAUUCUGGGUAUCGCCUUAUGUUUGGUGUCUUUAUUUAUAACAUUUGCUUAUGAUUUUAUCCUAUUAAUAAAACUAUACCUUUGCUGAUAAUAAUAAACAAAAUCAAACAAACCAUUGAGGUAAAUUAAUCAAAAUAAUUAUACUAUUUAAUUAAAAUAUAAAAUAAAAUGUAUGAAAUAGUGCAUACUAACGUAAAAAAAAUCAUGUUUUAUGAAAAUGUGGCUACAAAUAUAAUCUUGUAAUUUUUAUCACAAAAGUUUGUAUUUUUAAUUAUAAUUGAUGUAAUUACUAAUUACUCAAAUUUAAGUUAUACUUGUAUAAUAAACUGAUCUUGAAUAUAAUCAAAAUUACUUUUAAUAAUUUUAUUAAAUUUGCUUAUGUCUGUUGGUUGAAGUCCCCAUCGAUUUAUUAUUUACAUUAAGGCUGGUACUUAUAAGAAACAAGUCAUUUUGACUAUGGAUAUGAUAUCGAUUAAUGUUAUGUUCAUCAGUGAUGGCCCAACCGAGACCAUCAUCACCAAUGACCUUAACUGCAUUAGGGAUCAUCUGCUUAAAACAUUCGGCACUGUAACUAUUGGUAAGUAGUAUUAUAUACAUAUAAGUUUUGGUGGUGAGGUGAGAUGACUAACUAGUACGUAUGUUUGUGAAAUAUUGAAGGUGUACUGGAUGGGGUUGGUUUCACGGCCAAGGACAUUGGAUUUGAGAACACAACAGGAGACGCUGAUAAUCAAGCAGCGGCUUUUAGGGCAACAUGUGAUAUGGUCAUCAUGUUCAAUUGUCAUUUCUAUGGGUAUUGAGACACCCUUUAUGCUCACAAACAGAAACAAUUUGUAACACCCCCUAACUCUAAACCGUCACCAAAAAAAGGUUUAGAGCAUUACCAGAGUUUACAGAAUAAUUACACACAAUUCCAUUAUUUUCUUAUGUUUAUGUCAAAGCUGUCUUCUUGAGCAGCAGUCACUAAAAUAUUUAUAACUGGAGCUAUGAAACUCCAAAUUAAGUUCCGUUAAUUUUUGUUAAAACUAGACUCAUAUACCAUUCUACCAUGAAAUUUUCAGAAUUUUUGAUUUAGCCAAUUAAUACAGUUUAUUCCUCAAAGUUACCCCUGGUGUGCUGUUUGACAGCUUCGACCUUUCUUUACUAAAAUUUAAUUAUCUCAUAGCAUAGGACUCGGAUAAUGUUCCCAUUUAUUUCUCUUGAAAAUAGACUCAUUAAAGAUUCUAUGAAUAUAAAUUAUAGCCCAUAAUUAUUUUUAUACAAUUUUUAAUGAUUUUCCCAAUUAAAAAUAGGGAAUUCCAAAAUCAAUCUGACAUUGUCUCACAAAAAUUUAAAUUCAUACUAAAUUAGUCAAAUCCUAUUUUAUACCAUAACCAAACCUAAAUUUAUCUAUUUCAUCCUUACAUUUAUAAUUUUAAAUUGACACACACAUAAGACAUCUUAGGUACAUGCCAUUACCCAUAAUUAACACACUUUACCUCAUUGAAUUCGGGAUCGGCCUGGGAUACUGAUUCAACGUUCUAUCUUUACUUAACCUACGCACGGAAACAAACCGUGCGCUUUCCGUGCGCUGAGUAUGGUAUACUCAAUGGUAUUUCUAUAAUCCGAACACUUGAUAAUAUAAGAAUUAAACUUAAAAUCACAAUAACAAAUAUAACUAUUCAUUUAUUUAUUUUAUAGAUAAGUUUCAUUUACUUACCAUAAAAAUUCUAUACAAGCCAUAUAACAAACACAACAACAUAUUUGCUCAAUUCUUUUCAUUUGCUUACCGUAUAAAUUAUUUACAAUAUAUUCACAAUUCACUUGUAUUCACACUUUACUUCUUAACAAUAUACCAUUUUAAUUCUUUCUAACAUCAAUCAUCAUCCAUUUGAACUUCACUCAUUUCAUGAACCUUUUGGUUCAUGUUUUCAAUCUCAUAUCUCAAUUUCAAUUCUCAAUUCAAUUUCUCAUUUCAUUCCAAUAGCUCAAUCAAUCAAAUUCACUCGAUUUAUCUUUUCAUUUAUUUACCCCUAUUAACAAGACUCGGACUCUGAUAGAUACGUGGAUUCCUCCCAAACACACCAGAAUAUCCAACCCAAACACACCCGGAAUAUUAUAAAUCCUCCAUAACACACCAGUAUAUCAUAUCCUCCCAAACACACCAAUAAGGCAUUAAAUGCCUCUUCGGAUAAACCGAAGUAUAUAAUAACAGAAACAUCUUCUCGGCCGAACUACAAAUCUCCUCAUCACAUCACAAAUUCAAUGGCAUGCCAUUUGUAUCCAAUUUGGUCCGAUACUGUUAAUAGGGUAUUUGUUUCAUUUUCUCAAUUUAAUAAAUCUUUCAUCAAUAUACCAUUCUAAUAAUCACAUAUAUUCACACAUUUUCACAAUUUCAUACAUUUUCAUUCAAUUCAACAUAUAUAUUUCAAUUAUUCACAUUAAUUCAUAAUUCAAUACAACUCAAUUCACUUUUCAAUAUGAAAUAUUCAAUUAUCACAGAUCUCAUAUAUUCAUAUCAAUUCCCUCAUAUUCCAAUCAAUAUAAUAUUUCAAUAUAACAUUGAUUCAAUAUUCAAAUUUUUACAUAAAUCAUAUAUAUAUUAUAUAUUUCAAUCAAUAUAAAUUCAAUCAAAAUGAUUUCAAUCAAUAUAAAUUUGAUAAAUUCAUCACAUACCAAAAUCAAUCCAUUUCAAUUGUAAAACAUCAUAAUUCUAACACUAACAAUUGUCAUAUGUAUAUAAAUAUAACAAAUAAUGACUGAGUUCGGAUUAUAGAAAUACAAACCGUAUUUUCUUGAGCUAACUCCUCAACGAUCUUUUCUUUUCCUUUAGAUGCCGAUGCCUCGUUUUCCUUGUUAGCUAAAAAUAAUAAAAAUUUACAUUAUUAAUUACAGUAUUAAUUUAAAUAAUUAAUUAAAUUUCUACUCAAUUUAUGCCUAAUGUUCGUUUGGUUGCAACUCCCAAAUUUUCUUCAUACUUUAUCCGAAAUUAUUAGUUGUUGUUCUGACUUCAUCAAUAACUUUAUAUUUCAUCCGGAUAUAUUACUUUAUUGCUCUAGUUUCAACAAUAACUUCAUAUUUCAUCCAGAUAACUUAGUUAUUUUCUUUCCUUUUUUUUUUCUUCCUAUGUGAAAAACCCAAUAAAACUCUUGCUAGUUGAAAAUUCAUAUAUUUAUUUCAUACUUCAAUUCUAUUCAUUUUCUUCCAUAUUCAUCCUAACUAUCAAGUAUUCAUAAUAUAACCCUAAUUUAAAAUUUCUUUUAAUUUAAUCCCUCUAAUACAAAACUUAUAGCUUAACUUACAAUUUAAUCCUUUAUUAAUUCUAACUUAAAAUUUAUUCAAUUCCAUCCUUAAUAUAUCUUUUUCUUCAACAUGAACCAUGCUUAGAAAUCUCAUAACUUUCAAAAUUUCCACUUAAAACAAGUAGUAUUUAUCUCUAGGAUUCCAAAAACUCAAAAAUCAUAAGAAAAUGGGCUAAAUUGACUUACCAAAUUAACUUGGAACCUUUAAAACUUUAUUUUUCCCUUUUUCUUUUCUUCCUUUCUCCCUUCGCUGUUUCGUCCCCUCUAUUCUGUUUCUUUUCUUCUUUUUAUUCUUUUUGUUUCUUUCUUUUGUUUCUUUUAUAUAUAUAUAAUGACAAUAAUAACUAUAUUAAAAAUCUAUUUAAUAACAAAUAUUUAUUUAUCACUUGUACCAAUCAUUUUUAUACACUUGUUUUUCUUUUUUUUUAUAUAUUUAUAUAUAUUUAAUAUUUUAAUAAUAUACUUAUAUAAUAAGUAAACAUAUAUGAAUUUUAUAAAUGUAUGUAUACUAGUAUUACACAUGUCAUUAUACAUACCAUAUAUUUGUCAUUCUUUUCUUUAUUUAUCAAACAAAAAUCUCAUUAUUUAAUUAUUUAAUUAAUAAAUAUCUUUUAUUCUAAAAUUAAGUAAAUAUACAAUUAUAUUCCAAGUGUUCAAAUACAUAUAUUACACUUGUAUAAUUUUAUCAUCAUACAUUUGUCUUUAUUUAAAUUUAUUUUAUAACAUAAUAAUUUAAUAUCAAUUAAAUAAUAAUAACCAUAAUAAUAAAUUAAUUAAUUAAUAUAAGAAAAUCCUAGACUCUUCCAUCUUUUGCCGCCUAAAUUCAUACAUUAGGCAUAAUUGCCUACUUGGUCCUUUUUAUUUUCUUUUAAUCUACAAUUUAACUUUCAUCCUUUAUUCAAUUUAGUCAUUUUUCCUAAUUACUCUUAAUUAAGCUAAAUUCACUUAAUUAAAACUCUAAUUAACCACUCGAUUAACUUAAUAAAUAUUUUUAAUAAAUAUUUUCUAAUCCAUUUUUCAGAAACAGUGACCCGAAAAUACACUUUUCUAAUAACCUUAAAGUUUGGGUCAUUACACAAUUUUAUAGGGAUUGUCUCAUCAGUGGGACGGUGGACUCAUCUUUGGGGAUGUUGCGAGCGUGUUCCAAAACCAUCUGAUCAUCGCGAGGAAGCCAGGUGAAAACCAAAACAACAUGAUUACUGCCCACGGAAAGAAAUUCCCAUACAUUCACUCAGCUAUUGUGCUUCAAAAUUGUACCAUCUCGGGCACCCCUAACUACCUCUUGUUGAAGGACAAGAGCAAGAUGUACCUUGGUCGUCCCUGGAAAGCUUUGGCAAGGGCCAUCAUAAUGCAAAGCAAUAUUGAUGACAUCAUUACACUAGAGGGUUACUCCCCCAUAGAAGGUAUCGGUUACUUUGUAGAGUUACAAAACAGUGGACCCGAUGCCAAAACCGAAGGCAGGGUCAAAUGGCCAGCUAUUAAGAAAAUCUAUAUGAAUGAAGCCAAGAAAUGGACUCCUGACGUCUUUCUUGAAAUUGAAACUAACAAAUGGAUUUCGCAAACCGGCACUCCUUGUUAUCUUGACAUGGUCUAUGGAGUGUAAACUUCCAAAACCAUAGCCAUUAGUAUUAUUUUAUUAUCAUUAUUUGUAAUCAUACUGUCAAUUAUUGAUUAAUUUAAACAAAAUUUUCCUAUUUUUUAUUUAUAAUAAUAAUAUUCUACCCUUAUCCAAGGUAAAAGGGGAAUCAUAAUUAUUAUGUAUGGUCGACUGUGAAAUUAUUUUCUCAUUCCCUUAAUAAAAAAAUAGGGAAUAGUUUAUAUUAAGAUGAUAGUAAAAUAUAUAAUUUAUACAACUUUUGAAGAUGUACAAAUAUUAUUAUACACAUUCAUAUAUGAUAUCUUUUUUAAGUUACCUUUUUAUCAAAUAACUUUAAUUGAGUUACUUAAAAUUAAUUAAUUUUUUUAUUAGAAAAACAAAACAAACACAUUAAAACUAAUGCAACAAAGAAAACAUAAACAAAACAAUUGGAAAUUAAAAAUGAUGAAAUCAAUAGAUUGAAAUCAAUAGAUAAAAAAAGGGGGUGAAAAUUUAAUGUAAAAAAUUGAAAUCAACAACUAAAAAUUAAGAAAAACUUUGGUAAAAAUUUAAAAUUUGAAAACUUAUCACCAUAAAUGGUGACAUUAUCAAAUUUUGGUAUUUAAUUAAAAGUUAAAAUAGAAAAUUAAAAAUGAAAAAAAUUGACUGCCUACAAGAGAAUAAAAGACAAUUAAAUUUCAGAAAAAACUAAAAAUGAUUAAAAUAUUAUAAGGGAAAAAAUUCAUUUUUGUUUAUUUAAUAAAAAAGUAAUUAUUUUUAAAUAUUUUAAUUAAAGUUAAAAAAUUCAUAUAUGAAUAGGCAUUCAAUAAUACUUAUAUGUUUUUAAAAAUUGAUAAUGUGACUAUUUCUUUGGUGACUAAAACUAUAUAUUUUAGAAUGAUCAUAAAAUAAAUUAUUCUAAAAAUACAAUAUGUCAUUAUUAGAGAUAGAUAUAAAGUCUAAUAUGCUCUUAAGCUAUGAAACUAUUCUUGAAAUUAUUAGAGAUAAAUAUGAAAUUAUUCUUGGAAGAGCAUCAAAUACUCCUUAAUUUCGACUUCCAUUAUAGAGGUUGAGUUCGUUUCAUGUUUUGAGGCUACCUCACAUGGAGUAUGAUUGAAGAGUUUCACAUCCGAGUUUAGAUUUGUGGAUUCGACUUCUAUACUGUUGAUGAUAUAUUGUGACAAUUCAACUACAGUCUUUAUGGUUAAGAACAACAAAAGUGAAAGUCGAAGUAAACAUAUCGACAUUAAGUAUUUAGCUAUAAGGGGACAUGUUAAAGAAAAGAAAGUGGUCAUUGAACACAUUAACACUGAACAAAUGUUAGCUGAUCCUUUGACUAAAGGCAAGCCACCACACAAAGUUAAAGAUCAUACUGUCACUAGUAUCACUGAAUUACUAAUUAAUUGUUAUUAUUACUAGUAUUUAUGGACAAUACGAACCAAGUAGGAGAAUGAUGAAUGUGUUUUAUGGUUUGUGGGAAUAGCCCCAUGUUUGCUUCCAUUGCUAACAUUUUUGAUCCACUUUCACUUUGUAUGUGUGGUAGUGGGACAUGUUUUGGCGGUUUUUGAUGGGGAACCACCGCUAUAAAUCCUCCCAAGCAUAAAAAAAAUUCCAUUUAAUGAAGUUUUCGAGUGCUUAGAAGACUUUGGCGAUUUUCGUGUUUUCAUAUAGCUAAAUUUGACGUCCUUGCCGGUUGUUUGACACACUCAAUAGUGGUGUUACAAAGCCUAGAUUUUACAUAUGGUUCAUGCAAUAUUCGGAGGUAUUUAUGUUCGAUAUUUUCCGCUGCACUUUAACGUUUAAACUGUAAUUUAUACUUACAUUUAAAAUUUAAUUAGUUUUUUAAAUAUUAUAAUUUUAAUUCUAGUAAUUAGCCUAAAACAAUAUUUCUUAUUUUAAUUGUUAAAUAUAAUUAAAAUAUAUUAACAAUUAGUUUAUUAACUCAAAUAUUAUAAUAAAAAAUUUAAAUAAUAAUUAAAAAAAGUUGGCAUCAUAAUUUAAGUUGAUAAUAAAAUAGAAUACUAAAUAAAAAUAAAAUAUUGUAUAUUAUACAAAAAAAAUUAAUACAAAAGUAAAAAAAUAAUAUAUUGUAGUUAAUAAUAUAGUUUUACUUAUUUGUUUAUUCUUUGGCUCUUUCAAAUCAUCAAAAAUAUAAACACAUUUGUAAAUUGUAGAAGUUGUUUUUGUAACCAUAGAAUUCAAAUUUAUUAUGAAUGAUAAUAAACCUACAAAAAGAUAUAUAUAUAUACUAUGUAUAGAUUAUUUUCUUCUAAUUUUUUAAUUAAUACAUAAAACUAUUGAAAAUAAUAUAAGCAUGCAUCAAUAAUAGUUCAUCAUAACUACGAAAAAUAUUUACAUUAAAUUAAUUAAAUAUGAAAGAGAUUUACAUUAAAUUAAUAAACAUAUUUAAUAACGAUGAUUAGAAAUAAUUAUUAAAAUUUUAUAUGAAAACUCCUUUUACUUUUUCAAUAUUUCUCUCAUCCGUUUACAACUUCGGUGUAAUAAUAAUAGUAAUGCUAAUAAUAAACUAAAAAUAACCAUUAAUUUGCUAUUAAUUUGCUCAGAAGGGGUCACUUUGGUAGUAUAAAUAGGGCAUUUCAAUAACGUAUUAUUCAAGCCAAGGGGCAAUAAGCAAUAAGCAUCCCCACAACUUCAAAAAGUUUUUCUUUCUUUCUUUUCCUAUCUCUAUUUGAAAUCUGUUUCAGGGGAAAGAAGAAGGAAAAUUUUAUGAUUUUUUGAGGGCUUGUUAAUAAUAAAUAGAAAACAAUGGCGAACAAUGUUGCUGUUAUUGGUAUCUUUUCGGUGUUAUUGGUGACAGCAGUGGUGGGUGUUACGCAUUUAAAAAAUAAUGGUGAUUCGAAAAGCGGUGAAAUAUCAAGUUCGACGAAAGCGGUGCAAACAACAAGGAGCUGAUAAGAAUGAGUUUCCAAGCAGCGAUAGAGGAAAUAAGGAAAGUGUUGGCGAAUUCAGCGACGAUACAAGACUUGAAUAAAGAUGACAACAACAAAGCAGCCCUUAAGGUUUGUAAAGAAGUGUUGGAUUUAUCAAUAGCUGAUCUGCAACUUUCAUUUGAUAAGCUGGGGGAUACGAGAUGAGUAAGAUCGGUGACUACAUACUGAACCUGAGGGUGUGGUUAAGCGGUGCCUUAACUACCCUACAAACAUGUGUAGACUCAUAUGCGGAGGUAAAUAAUGAACAAGCGGAGAAGAUGAAUUCAAUUUUGAAGACUUCAAUAGAGCUUACCCAAAAUUCUUUAACGAUGGUGACUAAGUUAUCCACCAUCUUGAAUGGCCUUAACAUUCCAGGCCUCAAUAUUGGCACGACUGGGUUUGAACGUAAGCUCCUGUCUAACGAUGGACCUGAGUGGAUGGGCCACGCUGAGAGGAGACUACUUCAAGCAAAACCAACAGAUUUGAAGCCUAAUGUAACAACCCAAAAUUCGUGGGCACCAGAAAAGUGUGUUAUCGGGUCUCCGUCUUAGUGAAAUAAGUUCGAAAAUAAUUAUUAAAAAUAUUUAUGAGUCUAGUAGUGUAUUUAAUUGGGUUUUAAUUAAGUAAAUUUAGCUUAAUUUAGAGUAAUUAGUAAAAAGGAUUAAAUUGAAUAAGGGUAAAAGUUUAAUUAUAGAUUAAAGAAAAAUUAGAAGGACUUAAGAGGAAAUUAAACUAUUUCCUAUAGCUGAGGCGGUUUAACGUGGAAAAUAUCAAAAAUUUUAUUGAUUUAAAAAAAAUAUAUAUAUUUAAUAAUUAAGUAUAUUAUAUUAUAUUAUAUUAUAUUAUAUUAUAUUAUAUUAUUAUUAUAUAUAAAAGAAACAAAUAAGUUAAAAGAAACAGAAUGAAAGCAAACGAAACAGAGAAGAACAGGGGAGAAAGAAAGGAAAGAAGAAAGAAAAGGGGAAAUAAGGUUUAUGAAGCUUGGAGUUAAUUGGUAAGCUCAACCAAGUCCUUUUCUCAUAAUUUUGAUAUUUUAGAAGUCUUAAAACAAGUUUUUGAUGAAAUUAAGUUGUUAGUUUGGAAGUUCUUAGGUUUUUAAACAAAGUUCAUGUUGAAUAAAAUGAUGAAAUAGGUGUUUAAUUGAAUGAAAUUCAAGUUAGAAUAGAUAUAAGGAUUGAAUUGCAAAGUAAGCUAUAAGUUUUGUGUUUUAGGGACUAAAUUGAGGAAAAUUCGGAAUUAAGAAAAUAUUUUGAAAAUUUAAUAGUUAAAUUUGAGUUUAAAUGAAAUUUGAAUAGGAAUAAGGUGUGAAUUGGUGUUAUAAAUUUGGUUAUUAACAUUUUACAUCAAAACAGUUUUGGGAAGUAGCAAUGGUCUGACUUUGAAAAUUCACUAAAAAUUUUAUAAAUUGAACUAGAGAAUGAACAAAAUAUGGAAUUAAAUCUUAUUGAGUCUAUUUUCUUUAGUAGAAACAGUGUAAGCAAUUAAUUGAUGAAUCAAGAGAUAUUUGAAAUUUUGUAAUACUGGUUCGGGGUGAUUUCGAGAUGCCCUGUUUUAACUUUGGAAAAUCAUUAAAAAUUGUACAAAAAUUAUUAUGGAGUGUAAUUUAUAUAUGUGAACUCCUUAAUGAAUCUAGUUUCAAAAUAAAUAAACAAGAACCUUAUUCGAGUUCUGUACAAUGAGAUAAUUUAUUUUUAGUAGAGAGAGGUCAGAACUGUCAAAUGAAAUAACAGGGGAGUAUUUAAUGAAUAAACUGUACUAAAUGGCUAGACCAAAAAUUCUGAAAAUUUUAUGGUUAGAAGAUAUAUGAGUCUAGUUUUAAGGAAAAUUUACGGAUAUUAAUUUGGAGUUUCGUAGCUCAAGAUAUAAAUAAUUUAGUAACAAUGACUCAAGUAGACAGCUUAAUGGUGAAAUUAUAUAUAUACAUUAAAAAUGGUUAAAUUUGCAUGUUUAGGCUCAUGAAUUAAAUUGAAUCAUGUUGUAUUAAUGAUUAUAAAUUAUUAUUUUUGUAGCCAACAAAGAACCUGAAGCAUCAGCAUCGAAAGGAAAGGAGAAAGUCAUCGAGGACUAAAACGGGAGAAUUAUGGUGUGUAUUACUAUAAUUCGAAUUUUAAUUAUUAUUGAUUGCUGAAUUUUUUUUAUUGUUAUGUAUGGUAAGUAAGACUUGAGGUAAGUAUGUGAAAUUGAUAUGAAUAUUGAGUGAAAAUGAAAGUGAUGCAAAUUGAAUCAAAUUGAAUUGAAUAAGUGAAUUAUGGAAUAUGUAAUUAUUUGAGAAGCGUAUUGAUUGAAAAAUGUUUGGCGAUUUGAAUUGUGAAUUGAAAGUGAUAUAGGAUUGAGAAAGUGAAUUGAAUACCCUAUUAACUAGUCGGGCUAAGUCGGAUAUAGUUGGCAAGCCAUAGGAUUGGAAGUGUUCAGGGAUACUUCGACCUCGAGUCGAUGAGACACUGGGUGUCACUAUAUUUCUUCGGAUAGAUUCGAUGAGGUACCGGGUACCAACUUUACUUCGGCUAGGCCGAUGAGACACUGGGUGUCAACUAUUACUUCGAACUAUCCGAUGAGGCACUGGGUGCCAUAUUGGUGUGUUUGGUUGGAUCCGUGUAUCCGCCAAAGUCCGAGUUACGUUAAUAGGGUGAAAAAUUGAAAUGUGAAUUUGAGGCAUUGAAACGAGAAAAAUAAAUUGAAUUACGAAUUGAAAUUGGAAUUGUGAUAAUAAGAGAAAAGUAUGAAAUGUAUAUUCAUAAGUGAUAUAAAUUUAAGUUUGAGAAAAUACAUUGAUUUAUGAAUUAGUACAUAUGACAUUAAUUGUUAGGUAUUUUGAUAUUUAUGUUUUUACUAUUGUUGAUAUAAUUUGAAUUAUGGUAAUAUCACUGAGUAUAUCCAUACUCAGCGUACGGUUGUUUCCGUGCGCAGAUUAGUAGAAGUCAAGUGUCCCAGUUCAGCAUCCAGAACAUUCCCGACUCCAACACAAAUUUGGUGAUGUAUAUUUUUCUUUUGGGUAAAGGUGGCAUGUACAUAUGUGUUAUAUAGUCACUUGAAUAUGCAUAUUACUUUGGGUAGUGAAGGUUGAAUUAUAAGAUUUAGAUGGUUAAAUGAAAUGGUAAGAAAAGUAUAUGAUAGUUAUUAAGUUGAAAUUAUGUUAAUGAUAUAAAUAUUAGUUAUAUGAAUGUGAAAAAUUGGUGCUGGUUGUUUUAGUUUGAAUUUGCAGGAGGUUUUAGGUAAAAAUAAGCAGAAAUGCUGCCGAAAUUUUUAUAAAAAAAAAGAAAUAAAAAAAAAUUUAAAAUAUUCGAACAAGUCCCGUUCUACUUUUAAUACGUGCUUGAACUUUGAGAGUUCAAGAUAGGGACUCAAUUAUUAUAUUAUACUAUGAAAAUUUUUAAUAAUUGUAAAUUAUUAGUAAGUUGUCUGAUAUGUCCGGUAAUGCCUCAUAACCUCGUUUCGGUAACAGUUUGGGGUUAGGAGGUGUUACACCUAACGUUGUGGUUGCUAAGGAUGGUAGUGGAAAAUAUGAUACCAUCACCAAGGCCUUGGCUGAAGUCCCUCCAAAAAGCCCUAAUCGAUUUAUUAUUCACAUUAAGGCUGGUACUUACAAGGAACAAGUCCUUUUACCCAAGGAGAUGACUAAUGUUAUGUUAAUCGGUGAUGGCCCAACUAAGACCAUCAUCACCAAUGACCUUAACUGCAUUAGGGAUCAUCCGCUUAAAACAUUCGGCACUGCAACAGUUGGUAAGUAGUAUUAUAUACAUAUAAGUUUUGGUGGUGAGGUGAGGUGAUUAACUAGUAUGAAUGUUUGUGAAAUAUUGUAGGUGUGGACGGGGCUGGUUUCAUGGCCAGGGACAUUGGAUUCGAGAAUACAGCAGGACCCCCUGGUCAUCAAGCAGUAGCUUUUAGGGCAACAUGUGAUAUGGUUAUCAUGUUCAAUUGUCAUUUUAAUGGGUACCAAGACACCCUUUAUGCUCACAAACAAAAACAAUUUUAUAGGGAUUGUCUCAUCAGCGGGACGGUGGACUUCAUCUUCGGGGAUGCUGCGAGCAUAUUCCAAAAUUGUCUGAUCAUCGCGAGGAAGCCAGGUGAAAACCAGAACAACAUGAUUACAGCCCACGGAAGGAAAUUUCCAUACACUCACUCAGCCAUUGUGCUUCAAAAUUGUACCAUCUCGGGCGCCCCUGACUACCUUCCGGUGAAGGACAAGAGCAAGACGUACCUUGGUCGUCCCUGGAAAGCUUUGGCGAGGACCAUCAUAAUGCAAAGCAAUAUUGAUGACAUUAUUACACCAGAG